rnacentral:lncRNA from 1 species
AUUCAAUGCUUUAUUCCCUUUUUUAAAAAAAACAGACUGUUAAAUUCCAUUAAGUGAAUGUUUAGAGAGUUUUAAGUAGUCAUUAAAUGUGGUUUAUUGUGAUUUAUUGGUUUAGGUUUUAGUUAAAUGUUUUUUUAUAAGGGUUAAGGAUUGCUCUAAAAUCCAACAGUCAGGCGGCUGGAUUUUUUUUUGGGUAAUCCAACAGUCUAUUUUUAUUAUUAUUAUUAUUUUGGUUUUAUUUUCUUUAAUUUUUUGAUCCAAUAUUUUCUUGAUUUAUAAAGCCUAUUUGACAUUGUAAAUGAUAACUAAUGAUAAAUGGCCUGGUGGAGAGGGGUGGUUUCCAUAGUCUUAAGUGGAAUGGGUUCAAUACUCAUAUGUAGCCUUUUUUUUAGCAUUUUAUUUUCUUUUAGCAUUUUAUUUCUUUUAGUAUUUGUAUUUCUUUUAGUAUUUCAUUUCUUUUAGCAUUUCAUUUUAUGUUUAUGUUUUUAUUAUACUCAUGGUUGAUCUGUUUUUUUUUAUUAAGUUCAUCAUGCAUGCAAAACCAUUUUAAAACUGUAAAAAUCAUUUCUUUUCUCGAUUUAAUAUCGAGCCCAUUUCCACACCCUUGUAAGUCGAUUGCUUUUUUAAGCAUCGCCAUCAACCUCACAUGGCUUACUCUUGGGCCUUCUUACAAUGAACUUAACUUUCAAUAAUUUCAAACCUCGGUACUUUAUUUGUUUUAAUUUAAUAUUCAAAUCGUUUUCUAAAUAAAACGUGAAGAAAAAGGUUACCUGGAUGGAAUGUCCAGUCGUAAUCCCGAAUAUUAGGCUCAAGCUGUAAGAGCUUG